rnacentral:rRNA from 1 species
UACGUAGGGACCAAGCGUUGUUCGGAUUUACUGGGCGUAAAGGGCGCGUAGGCGGCCACUGCAUGUCAGUUGUGAAAUCUCCGGGCUUAACCCGGAAAGGUCAACUGAUACUGCGGGGCUAGAGUGCAGAAGGGGCAACUGGAAUUCUCGGUGUAGCGGUGAAAUGCGUAGAUAUCGAGAGGAACACCUGCGGCGAAGGCGGGUUGCUGGGCUGACACUGACGCUGAGGCGCGAAAGCCAGGGGAGCGAACGGG